ACCGAGUCUUAACUGGGCGUUAAGUUGCAGGGUAUAGACCCGAAACCCGGUGAUCUAGCCAUGGGCAGGUUGAAGGUUGGGUAACACUAACUGGAGGACCGAACCGACUAAUGUUGAAAAAUUAGCGGAUGACUUGUGGCUGGGGGUGAAAGGCCAAUCAAACCGGGAGAUAGCUGGUUCUCCCCGAAAGCUAUUUAGGUAGCGCCUCGUGAAUUCAUCUCCGGGGGUAGAGCACUGUUUCGGCAAGGGGGUCAUCCCGACUUACCAACCCGAUGCAAACUGCGAAUACCGGAGAAUGUUAUCACGGGAGACACACGGCGGGUGCUAACGUCCGUCGUGAAGAGGGAAACAACCCAGACCGCCAGCUAAGGUCCCAAAGUCAUGGUUAAGUGGGAAACGAUGUGGGAAGGCCCAGACAGCCAGGAUGUUGGCUUAGAAGCAGCCAUCAUUUAAAGAAAGCGUAAUAGCUCACUGGUCGAGUCGGCCUGCGCGGAAGAUGUAACGGGGCUAAACCAUGCACCGAAGCUGCGGCAGCGACGCUUAUGCGUUGUUGGGUAGGGGAGCGUUCUGUAAGCCUGCGAAGGUGUGCUGUGAGG
rnacentral:rRNA from 1 species